AUUGAACGCUGGCGGCAGGCCUAACACAUGCAAGUCGAGCGGAUGAAGGGAGCUUGCUCCUGGAUUCAGCGGCGGACGGGUGAGUAAUGCCUAGGAAUCUGCCUGGUAGUGGGGGAUAACGUCCGGAAACGGGCGCUAAUACCGCAUACGUCCUGAGGGAGAAAGUGGGGGAUCUUCGGACCUCACGCUAUCAGAUGAGCCGCGGUCGGAUUAGCUAGUUGGUGGGGUAAAGGCCUACCAAGGCGACGAUCCGUAACUGGUCUGAGAGGAUGAUCAGUCACACUGGAGCUGGGCCACGGUCCAGACUCCUACGGGAGGCAGCAGUGGGGAAUAUUGGACAAUGGGCGAAAGCCUGAUCCAGCCAUGCCGCGUGUGUGAAGAAGGUCUUCGGAUUGUAAAGCACUUUAAGUUGGGAGGAAGGGCAGUCAGUUAAUACCUUGCUGUUUUGACGUUACCAACAGAAUAAGCACCGGCUAACUUCGUG
rnacentral:rRNA from 1 species